rnacentral:rRNA from 1 species
UACGAAGGGUGCAAACGUUGCUCGGAAUUAUUGGGCGUAAAGCGCACGUAGGCGGUUCGUUAUGUCGGAUGUGAAAGCCCUUGGCUUAACCGAGGAAGUGCAUCCGAAACUGGCGAGCUAGAGUACGAAAGAGGAUCGCGGAAUUCCUGGUGUAGCGGUGAAAUGCGUAGAUAUCAGGAGGAACACCGGUGGUGUAAACGGCUUUCUGGACCAUAACUGACGCUGAGGCACGAAAGCGUGGGGAGCAAACAGG